CACGGCAGGCCUGCUUGUUCAGGGUCUCUGAGGUACUUUCAAGUCAGCCAGCUCAUUCUUCUGAUCAGGGGUGUGGCUCCACCUCCACAUCUAGAUCAGACACCCAGGCACAUGGAACGAGCAGCCCAGCGUCACACAGCUGGCAUCCAGUGAGGUGACUUGGGUUGUUUUAAAGCUCUUAAAGAAGUGCACAGAGAAAAGGUCGUGUGAGGACACAGUGAGAAAUCAGUCAUCUGUAAGCAGGAAAGAGAAGUUUUGCCAGAAACUGAAAUGUCCAGCACUUUGAACUGGGACUUCUAGCCUCCAGAACUUUUCAGCUCUUGGAAAAUCCCAGAUUAAAGCAUCAGUGGAGCAGACAGAGACAAAGGGCCCUUCUUUGGGGAGACAAAAAAUAAGCCACAUCUUCACAGGUGAUCAAAGUGCAUAAAAGAAAUACUACUAUGACUGAAGAUUGAUGGGAUCUGAAAGGGACAUAGAAAAGAAAAAUAUGCAAGAAUAUUCUUCCUUUUGAAAGGUAAGUCUUCUUAAAUUUUUCAAUUGAAAAUUUUAUAAUAUUCCUCAUUACGGUUCACAGUGGGGGAUGGUGAAUAAAAAUGGAUAGAACUGGGAGAAAUGAAACACCUGGAUUAAUAUUAACAAAUUCUUAACCAUCUCUGAGAUUAUGCAUCAUACAAAAGUAAAUGUGAAAUAUAUGCAAAUAUACUCAUGUGAGUCCCUCAGAUGCUUUACUUGAUACCAUGGAGGUGUCUUGCCAGUGGGUUUCAGCCCCAAGCAAAUUAACUAUGGAUUCAAUGUGACCAAAGAAAUGACAGUAGAACGUUCUUGGGGUGAAAGGGUUAUACCCAACUUUAUUUCUAU